rnacentral:rRNA from 1 species
GUUCUUACUAUGCAGUCGAGCGGCCGUAGCAAUACGGCAGCGGCGCACGGGUGAGUAACGCGUGGGAACCUGCCCUUUGGUUCGGAACAACCCUGGGAAACUAGGGCUAAUACCGGAUAAUCCCCGCAAGGGGGAAAGAUUUUUCGCCGAAGGACGGGCCCGCCCUCGAUUAGCUAGUUGGUGGGGUAAAGGACUACCUAGGCUGCGAUCGGUAGCCGGUCUGAAAGGAGAUCGGUCACUCUGGGACUGAGACACGGCCCAGACUCCUACGGGAGGCAGCAGUGGGGAAUAUUGGACAAUGGGCGCAAGCCUGAUCCAGCCAUGCCGCGUGAGUGAAGAAGGCCUUCGGGUUGUAAAGCUCUUUUGGCUGGGACGAUGAUGACCGUACCCUCAGAAUAAGCCCCGGCUAACUUCUUGCCCGCCGCCGCUGAAAGACCAAGGGGGCUAGCGUUGUUCGGAAUUACUGGCCGUAAAGGGCGCGUAGGCGGCCACUUUAGUCAGACUUGAAAGGCCUGGGCUCAACCUAGGAAUUGCGUUUGAUACUGGGUGGCUAGAGAGCGGGAGAGGAUGGCGGAAUUCCCAGUGUAGAGGUGAAAUUCGUAGAUAUUGGGAAGAACGCCGGUGGCUAAGGCGGCCAUCUGGACCAUAUCUGACGCUUAGGCGCGAAAGCGUGGGGGGCAAACGGGAUUAGAUACCCUGGUAGUCCACGCUGUAAACGAUGAGUGCUGGACUUGGUGGGCUUGCCUGCCGGUGUCUCGCUAACGCUUAAGCACUCCUCCUGGGGAGUACGGCGCAGGUUG